rnacentral:tRNA from 3 species
GCCGCUGUGGCGGAACUGGCAGACGCAAGGGACUUAAAAUCCCUCGAUGGAAACAUCGUACGGGUUCGAUUCCCGUCAGCGGCA